rnacentral:rRNA from 1 species
GACAGAGGGUGCAAACGUUGUUCGGAAUUACUGGGCGUAAAGGGCGCGUAGGCGGCCCGUCAAGUCCCGUGUGAAAGCCCCCGGCUCAACCGGGGAACUGCACGGGAAACUAGCAGGCUUGAGUUCGGGAGAGGGAAGCGGAAUUUCGGGUGUAGCGGUGAAAUGCGCAGAUAUCCGAAGGAACACCGGUGGCGAAGGCGGCUUCCUGGACCGACACUGACGCUGAGGCGCGAAAGCUAGGGGAGCAAACGGG